rnacentral:rRNA from 1 species
AGUGAACGCUGGCGGUAGGCCUAACACAUGCAAGUCGAACGGCAGCACAGUAAGAGGUUGCUCUUACGGGUGGCGAGUGGCGGACGGGUGAGGUAGACAUCGGAUUCUACUUUUUCGUGGGGGAUAACGUAGGGAAACUUACGCUAAUACCGCAUACGACCUACGGGUGAAAGCAGGGGAUCUUCGGGCCUUGCGGGAGUGUAUGAGCCGAUGUCGGAUUAGCUAGUUGGCGGGGUAAAGGCGCACCAAGGCGACGAUGCGUAGCGGGUCUGAGAGGGUGAAUCCCUACAUGGGAAGUGAGAAAGGGCCCAGACUCUGACGGUAAGAAGCAGUGGGGAAUAUUGGACGAGGGGCGAGAGGCGGAUCCAGCAAUACCGCGGGAGUGAUGAAGGCCCUAGGCUGCGAAAGCCAUGUUGGUGUGAAAGAAAUGCAGCACGUUAAUACCCCGCUGUACUGACGGUACCCAAAGAAUAAGCACCGGCUAACUCCGUG